AGAGUUUGAUCCUGGCUCAGAAUCAACGCUGGCGGCGUGCCUAACACAUGCAAGUCGAACGAGAAAGCCGUCUUCGGAUGGCAAGUAAAGUGGCAAACGGGUGAGUAACGCGUGGGACAUCUACCCUGAUGAGGGGAAUAACUCUCCGAAAGGAAAGCUAAUACCGCAUACACCGUGCAAACGGGAAAGGCCUUCGGGUCGCAUCAGGAGGAGCCCGCGUCCGAUUAGCUAGUUGGUGAGGUAAUGGCUCACCAAGGCGACGAUCGGUAGCCGGUCUGAGAGGACGGACGGCCACACUGGGACUGAGACACGGCCCAGACUCCUACGGGAGGCAGCAGUGGGGAAUUUUGGGCAAUGGGCGCAAGCCUGACCCAGCAACGCCGCGUGGAGGAAGAAGGUUUUCGGAUCGUAAACUCCUGUCCCACGAGAAGAAGCAAGUGACGGUAUCGUGGGAGGAAGCCCCGGCUAACUCCGUGCCAGCAGCCGCGGUAAUACGGGGGGGGCAAGCGUUGUUCGGAAUUACUGGGCGUAAAGGGCGCGUAGGCGGCUUCGGAAGUCAAGGGUGAAAGCCCCGAGCUCAACUCGGGAACUGCCUUUGAAACCACGGAGCUGGAGUGUUGGAGAGGAAAGCGGAAUUUCCAGUGUAGCGGUGAAAUGCGUAGAUAUUGGAAGGAACAUCUGAGGCGAAGGCGGCUUUCUGGACAGACACUGACGCUGAGGCGCGAAAGCCAGGGGAGCAAACGGGAUUAGAUACCCCGGUAGUCCUGGCUGUAAACGAUGAACACUUGGUGUGGGGGGUAUAAAGUCCCUCCGUGCCGUAGAUAACUCGAUAAGUGUUCCGCCUGGGGAGUACGGCCGCAAGGCUGAAACUCAAAGGAAUUGACGGGGGCCCGCACAAGCGGUGGAGCAUGUGGUUUAAUUCGACGCAACGCGAAGAGCCUUACCGGGGUUUGAACUGUACCUGCAACAUUCAGAGAUGGAUGGUUUCCUUAGGGAACUGGUAUAGAGGUGCUGCAUGGCUGUCGUCAGCUCGUGUCGUGAGAUGUUGGGUUAAGUCCCGCAACGAGCGCAACCCUUGUCUGUAGUUGCCAUCAGGUUAAGCUGGGCACUCUACGGAGACUGUCGGCGAUAAGCCGGAGGAAGGUGGGGAUGACGUCAAGUCCUCAUGGCCUUUAUGUCCCGGGCUACACACGUGCUACAAUGGGUGGAACAGAGGGCAGCGAGCCUGCGAAGGCAAGCGAAUCCCAAAAAUCCAUUCCCAGUUCGGAUUGCAGUCUGCAACUCGACUGCAUGAAGUUGGAAUCGCUAGUAAUCGCGGAUCAGAACGCCGCGGUGAAUACGUUCCCGGGCCUUGUACACACCGCCCGUCACAUCACGAAAGUGGGCUGUACUAGAAGCCGCUGGCCUAACCUCUUCGGAGGAGGGAGGCGUCGACGGUAUGGUUCAUGAUUGGGGUGAAGUCGUAACAAGGUA
rnacentral:rRNA from 1 species